UACGUAAGGUGCAAGCGUUGUCCGGAAUCAUUGGGCGUAAAGAGCGUGUAGGCGGCUAUGCAGGUCCGCUGUGAAAACUCGAGGCUCAACCUCGAGACGUCGGUGGAAACCGCAUGGCUAGAGUCCGGAAGAGGAGAGUGGAAUUCCCGGUGUAGCGGUGAAAUGCGCAGAUAUCGGGAAGAACACCCGUGGCGAAGGCGGCUCUCUGGGACGGUACUGACGCUGAGACGCGAAAGCGUGGGGAGCGAACAGG
rnacentral:rRNA from 1 species